rnacentral:rRNA from 1 species
ACCCCGCGCCGAAAAUGUACCGGGGCUAAACAUAUUACCGAAACUGUGGAUGAACCUCUUUAGAGGUUCGUGGUAGGAGAGCGUUCUAAGGGCGGUGAAGUCAGACCGGAAGGACUGGUGGAGCGCUUAGAAGUGAGAAUGCCGGUAUGAGUAGCGAAAGAAGGGUGAGAAUCCCUUCCACCGAAUAUCUAAGGUUUCCUGAGGAAGGCUCGUCCGCUCAGGGUUAGUCGGGACCUAAGCCGAGGCCGAUAGGCG